UUUAAACAGACUGGUCUUUUGAUCAAAAGUCAUUGCAAUAUGAUCAAAACCGUCGAGACUUCAUAACGGCUAUUAAAAGCAACUCGCUUAAAAAAAAACAGAUGAAUAAAUUUCAAAUUGUCAUUUUUCAUACGAACGACAUACUUCUUGACGCAAAGCAAUGUCAGUGUGCAUAGAAGACAUAUUUUGAAGAUGGAGAAAGUUUCAAAAUUUGGAACCCUCAAUUUUACAUAUUUUUACAUUUUUGAGUAAGAUUUUCUGGUCUUUAGAAUGAAUCCCACCCGUGUUUGAAUGAACGAGUUCAGAUCAAUAAUGAAACACAAUGUUAAAUUUUGGAUUAAUUG